rnacentral:misc_RNA from 1 species
CUCUCGUUUUAUAUUCAUUUUCUUUUUUAUUUUUUAGGCCCCUCCUUCUUCUUCUUCUUCGAAAUCUCCAGAACUGCAAGUAAGAGGGCGAGAAUAAUUCCACAUUGAAAUCCCAUAUUCUUAUUACUUUAACUCUAUAUUGAUUUUAUCCGUUUUUUCUUGGGAAAAAUCGUAGUGAGUUUAAGAUUUUCCUUUUCUUUUGUUGGUUCGGAUUUUUUUAGGAGAAAAAAAAAAAACAUUCU